rnacentral:lncRNA from 10 species
UGUCAGGGUCAACUGAUGCCAAUUAACUAUUAGCUUUCAUGUAAUUCAGUAUUUAUACUAUAUUGUUUCUUUCCUCAACUCUGCUAUACAUGGUCUUCUACUUAUUACUUCCCAGAUUUAUCAUUUACAUUUUUGCUCUUCUUUUAGGUUAAGAAUUUAAAGAUCCAUCUGCAGAGCUGUUCUUUUACAAUUUCCAGCUCAAAUGGGCCCUCCUCUGUAAAGCCUUCUCUGAUUGCUUCUAGGAAGAACAACCCUCCACUCCCCACCACCCUGCAUUUUGGCAUAACAUUGUGUGUGUGUGUGUGUGUGUGUGUGUGUGUGUGUGUGUGUGUGUAUUGACAUGCCUCUCUUGCCAAAAUGAAUCUGAACUCCGUAACUUUGAGGGCACUUCUUGGUCAUUUACUUCUGCAGCUUCAUGUGCCUUUUCAACCACAGAGUAGCUUCUUCAUAAAUAUUAGAUGGCCAGAUGAGUAAAAUAAAGAACACUCUCAAGGAGAAAAAAGAAAGUGAGAACUUUAUUUCCGUGUACUGAACUGCCAACAAAACUGAGAGGUAGAUAUUAUCCCCAUUUUAAGCCGAGACAAACAAGACAGAUACCAUAAGACAGGAUCAGAACACAGAUCUGUCUGAUUCCCAAAGCUUUUGUUCUCUCUAAUACAUGAGAAGAAAGACAGGCACAUUAAUGGUCACAUGCAGAAGCGGUUAAUGGAGUUCACAGACAAGAAAGGAAGAAAGAGAGCAAGGAGAAAAUGAACAUCAAAAAAUAAGGAAGUUGGAAUACUGACAGGUCAAAGCAGAGAGAAAGACAAGACUUACUAAGCAAGAACUAACUUAGUGCACAAUAAGAAAAUGCAAAGGAAGGAAGAUUGUGGUGACAUUUAGAGAGCUUAGAAUGGCAACAGAAUUGAGCUUCAGAUAUUUGGAAGAGUUUUAUUCAAAACCGUGGCAAGAGCCAGAAAAAGUAAAGGGCAGAGACAAGGGCCUGCAGCAGGCAAGGAGGAAGCAUGAUUUAGAGACAGAUGCCACAGCUCAGGAAGGGAGCGGCUUGACCCUGCUGCUUGGAAAGGGGCAUGCCUGGGAGUGCUGGCACUAAGGACACUGUUGGUUGCUAUUUGCAGUGGCAUAAGGAUGAAGGAUGAUAGCAGCCCUAUAGUGAUAUAAGGGACCAUCAUGAAUGGCAUUUCAAGAAAGAAAGCAGGAAGGAAUGAGGAACCAGAGUUCUCUGUUUUUAUCAAUCCACAACUGUGAAAUUUAUGAAGAAAGUUUACUCUCAACUGACAAGCAUUCACAUAUGGUAAGAGGCACAAGGGGUCGAAUGGUACCUCUGUGACUAACAGUGUAGGAGCCUGGGAGAUAUCACUUUAAAUGUCAAGUAUGGGAAAGAAGAAAGAAUAAUUGCAAGGAUUAGUCCACAAAAGUGCUUGAGUUUAGAGAAACUGUAUUCUUCUCCUUUAAGAUAAUUAAAACUGACCAAGUAUACACAUUGCUGAAAUAGAGGAGACUCCUGUAAGAAUGACAUAUAGCUUAAUUUAAAAGCUUUUGGAAUAUGUAGGCAAAAUGGAAGAUAUUCUUGAGUUUAUAACAUGGGGCAAAAGAGAAACUCCUCCUUGGAGGAGUUUUCAAUCUGUUAUCAUAAUAACUCCUUGCAUUUAUGUAGCACUUCCCUAAAUUUUAUUGGAGGCUCUGUCUCAUUUCAUUCUCAAAACUUUCACAGAAGACAGCGUAAAAAUAACGUUAUCUCAUAGAUAAACAGAGACCAAAGAGCAAAGAGAUCAAGAGAUUUGCCUUUGUUCAACAGCCUGUUAGUGGUGGAGCCAUUUCACUAUCAAUGUCUUGUUUCCACAGCCUUUCACCUAUAACUCAAUGGGGUUGAUAGCUUAAUCCUUUUCAGAAAUGAGGGAACAUGGGAAAUAUUAUAAAUACAUGGAUACAUCAUGACUUGACGAAUGAGUCUCCCGUUUUGAUAUAGCAUCAUCAGGUUUAGAACGCUAAAACCACAUGUUAAGGAUGCUGGAAAAUCUGGAUGAUGAAGUUACACCUCUAAUCAUAGAAUAGAAUUCCUGGAAUGGACAUUUACUCCAAUUGCCACAAUUUAUAGGUAAGGAAACAGCCCUGGAGAUGUGAACAUGCUAGAAUGUCAGAGAGCUGGCCUGACCCUCAGCAGCCGUUUGGUUCAUUCCUUUCUGACUGCCAAUCUUUCUUGUGACACCUUCAAAAUUUUUCCAAAUCUGCAUACCUUUUAUAUAAUUCAUUUCAUCCCGUUUUUUUCCUAAGUUGGCCCACAUUUUAAACUUAAAUAUAUUUUAAAGAGAUAAUUGAUUCUUAGCUAGUCACAAAAUUUAUUAUAAAUAAAAGUAACCAUGAAAAUAAACAUAUAACCACUAAAGGUAAUACAUUCAUCUGUCAACCACAUAAAAUCAUCUUAUUUACUAACAUGUCACACUUUUGAAAAUGCUGAUCUGACCUAAAUGUCCCAUUUUACAAAUGAGAGACCUGAGCCCAGAGGUGCGCUCCCGGUGGCAGACCUGAAUCCUAAACCUCACUACCUCUAUCGCUGUUCACUUAUCUGAUCUCAGCUGUUAAUAUGCCAGAAACUGGCAAAGGUAUUCCCUGCCUUUAGUGGUGCUAGACUCUCAGGUGCUGAAACCACAGCUAAUUCAGCCAAAGAUGAUGUGUAGAGAGGACUCAGAAGGCCCUAUUAAUAACUCAGCUGAGCACAGCACUAGCCAGAUAUUCAUCCCCUGCCAUUAAUUUCAAAAGUGCUCUUUGCAAGCAGGAAAAUUUUGACAGCAGGUGUUUCCCACUGGGGAGCAGUAGACUCCUCAGAAGACUCAGGGUCUCAGCUUAAAGACCAAAACUACUGAAUUUCAACCGUCAGUGAUCACUUCCCCAAUUCCCCUCAACGAUAAGGAAAAAGGAGUUUCUGGGAAGAUUGGCAGUGGCCCAGCAAGUUUUCGCAAGGAAAUCCUGUGUUUUUCAGAGGGGAAAGUCAUUUUUGGAAUCUUAGUACUCAAGGCAAGAUGAAUACUUAGCAAAAGUGGAGUUAAAUUUUACUUUGAUAUAUUUUGGACUGGAAACAAAAAACAACAUCACAUUGACAACAGAUGCCUCAGAGAGUUUAGAAAAGACCACAACAUUUUUCUGGUAUAUAUUUAUGUGGGGUCUCAGCUACCCAGGAUGAUAAAGAAGGGAAAAUGACAACGUGAUAGGUAGAAACUAGGAGAACUAAAAUGAUUGCAUGGACACAACAUCUAAAUGGAUGUAGUGAGCUCACCAUCAAAUAGGCCAAUCCUAGUAUCCCAAAGAGUCUGAUCUAGUGGGAUUGAGAAGAAUCAACUAUACAGUGUAAAAUAAAAAUACAUUAUCUGACCUUGCCUGGGCUAUCAUGAAUCUUAGCAAUAAAUCUCAAGAACAAAACCAAUAACCAUAUUAAAUGUGGGUGGUUAUUCUCCAUUUUCCAUUAUAACAGUAAUUCCCAAAUCUGUCUGUGCACGAAAACUGGGAGAAUAUUUUAAAAUAUAAAUUCCUUAGGACUAACCUCUGAUAUUGAACCAGAAUUUCUAGCAAUAAAGAUCAUAAAGAUAGAUAAUUAGUACCUAGAUACACAGACACAUAGAUAGCAGAAUGAAAGUCAUUAAGUGAUUCUUAAGCCAAGCAUUUGUUUAAAAGUGAGAGUUUGGGACCUGCUCAACUUUGUCAUCUUCAUAUAUGGUUUCCAUUUUAAUCGUUGUAUUGAAAUAAAAUCAGCUGUAGACUGCCUGGAAUUCUUUGUCAAAAUGAAGUUUGCAAAAAGAGGCUAGAAGAAGAUAGAAAAGAUGUAAGAGAGAGAGCAAGUGAUUUGGAGACACAAGAUCAAGGAACCGAUCUUGGGAUAGAAAAUACUCUUCUCCAGUUCCAUCCAUGCUCUCACUUAUGAGUGGAAACUAAAUAAUUUGUAGACAUGGACAUGGAGAAUGAAAUAACAGACAUUGAGGACUCAGAAAGGUGGGAAGGGGUUAAGGGAUGAGAAAGUACCUAAUAGGUACAAAGUACACUGUUCAGUUGAUGGUUACGCUAACAGCCCAGACUAAACCAUUAUGCAAUAUAUUCAUGUAACAAAACUGCAUUUGCACUCUCUAAAUCUAUAAAAAUUAAAAUAAAAUUUUCUAACCUUGAAGAGAGUCUUUGUUACCCAUCUUAAAAAGAAUGAAGUCAGAGUAGAGACAUGAAGUUGUCUUUUUUUUAAAUAGUUUUUUUAACUCUAUAUUUUUAUAUAGUGUCUCCUAGGGAAUCCCACAAAUAGAAAGAGUGUUUAUUCCUUUCUGAGGAGGAGAACAGACCUCCCAGAGUCCAAAGGGAAAGACAAGGACAGUCCCAGGAAGAGGAAGGGUCAUGCACUAGCAUCUCACGGCCGAGCCCUAGGAAGACGGAGGGGCAAGGUCCUGGGGUGGCUGUGGAUAGAGUCA